rnacentral:lncRNA from 1 species
UGGGCUGAGAUUCUUUACUCGGGCCGGGCCAUCACACAUUCUCCAUAGGCUCAAUCUACUUAUUGUUAGUCGUGUGUGGGUCCAUCCGUGGAACAAUAGCUGCCUUUGGGUCUUUCUGCUGAGAUAAAGCUCGUUCCUGCCUCUGCACUUUAGUUUUGCUGUUAAAUGGUGCACCCGCUACUAAUUGAACCUUUGGUUCCAGCCUGGGUGGGGAUGAACUAUCGUCACAUGAUUGGUCCGUGUAGACUGGCCUCUUUCUUUUAUCCCGCUUCUGCACAAUCUGAGCCUACCCCGUGCACACGAUACUGUCCAUAGAGUCCGGUUCCUCUUCAUCUUCCUGAAUGACGUCCAUUUGAUCAGCCGCCUGGUUGUCCAUUUCCUUCUCAAGGGGUUCCAACGGAGCAAAGCGGGAUGAAGAGGCGGAGUGGCGGGCAUAUUCCCUGACAGAUGGAACAUUUCUAACACCUGGCGUUUGAAAGGUGGAGCCAGAGCGGACCUGUUGCCAACCAUCAUUUUGAUCCUGAAUGUUAUUUCCCGAAAUGCCCUUAUCUCUUUCACCUCCCCCUCCUCCUCCUCCGACC